rnacentral:lncRNA from 1 species
GUGUUAGAAUUAUUAUUAUUAAAACGUGAAAAGGAGGGGACAGGUGAACUUUGCGCUAUACAUUCAGUGGUGGAUCCGGGGGGUCAGAGGGUCGGGUUGGAACCGACUUUUUAAAAAUUAUUAUUUUUUUUUGUAAUAUAUAUUUUUAUUAUUUUCAUAUCAUUUUCAAAUCUCAUCUACACAAAGAUGCACAAACAAAUUAUUCUGCUAUAAAUCCUAAACAUAUAGUUAACCAUACUUG